UGGGGAAUUUUGCACAAUGGGGGAAACCCUGAUGCAGCGACGCCGCGUGAUUUAGAAGGCCUUCGGGUUGUAAAAAUCUUUUCUAUGGGAAGAAAAUGACAGUACCAUAGGAAUAAGGACCGGCUAAUUACGUGCCAGCAGCCGCGGUAAUACGUAAGGUCCGAGCGUUGUCCGGAAUCAUUGGGCGUAAAGGGUACGUAGGCGGGUAAGCAAGUUAGAAGUGAAAUCCUAUAGCCGAACUAUAGUAAGCUUUUAAAACUGAUCAGCUUGAGUUAUGGACGGGAAAGUGGAAUUCCUAGUGUAGCGGUGAAAUGCGCAGAUAUUAGGAGGAAUACCGGUGGCGAAGGCGACUUUCUGGCCAUAACCUGACGCUGAGGUACGAAAGCGUGGGUAGCAAACAGG
rnacentral:rRNA from 1 species